GAUGAACGCUGGCGGCGUGCCUAAUACAUGCAAGUCGAGCGAACAGACGAGGAGCUUGCUCCUCUGACGUUAGCGGCGGACGGGUGAGUAACACGUGGAUAACCUACCUAUAAGACUGGGAUAACUUCGGGAAACCGGAGCUAAUACCGGAUAAUAUAUUGAACCGCAUGGUUCAAUAGUGAAAGACGGUUUUGCUGUCACUUAUAGAUGGAUCCGCGCCGCAUUAGCUAGUUGGUAAGGUAACGGCUUACCAAGGCAACGAUGCGUAGCCGACCUGAGAGGGUGGUCGGCCACACUGGAACUGAGACACGGUCCAGACGCCUACGGGAGGCAGCAGUAGGGAAUCUUCCGCAAUGGGCGAGAGCCUGACGGAGCAACGCCGCGUGAGUGAUGAAGGUCUUCGGAUCGUAAAACUCUGUUAUUAGGGAAGAACAAAUGUGUAAGUAACUAUGCACGUCUUGACGGUACCUAAUCAGAGAGCCACGGCGAACUACGU
rnacentral:rRNA from 1 species